UUGUUCUUCAUCUCCGGCGAAUGAUUGAUGAUUCUCUUUGUAGAAGAUGUUGAAGAUCAUUCAAUCACGAAACUGAGAUGAUGAACUCACACGGCUUACUUGAAUUUCGAUUCUUACAUGCAUGGAUCAUCAUCGGCGUUCGAUUCUCCGUAUCUAGAUGAGAACUGUAUCAGGUACGGAGAAAAGAAAUAGAUGAUAGAUUUUGGUUUUUGGUUUUCGUUUCUGGAAGAAGAAUAAUGAGAAUAGAGAAUUUUGAUUUCUCAACAAGAAGAAGAAUGGUUGAGACUCCGAGAGUAUAUAUUUAUUUAUAAGCGAUGGUUGCGUUUUUCAAAAGCACAAAAAGGAAAUUUAUCACAAGAAUUUCCUUUUUUUUUUUUUAAGGUUGAGUAUUUCCUUUUUUUCGACGAGUUUUGGUCUUUUUCCUUUUCUAUAUAGAUAAUAGAUUUGGGGGAUUUAAUUAGAUUACACAAAGUAUGCUGAAGAAUAUCAA